rnacentral:rRNA from 1 species
UACGGAGGGGACUAGCGUUGUUCGGAAUUACUGGGCGUAAAGGCGCACGUAGGCGGAUUUGUAAGUCAGGGGUGAAAUCCCGGGGCUCAACCUCGGAACUGCCUUUGAUACUGCAAAUCUCGAGUCCGGAAGAGGUGAGUGGAAUUCCUAGUGUAGGGUGGAAAAUUCGUAGAUAUUAGGAAGAACACCAGUGGCGAAGGCGGCUCACUGGUCCGGUACUGACGCUGAGGUGCGAAAGCGUGGGGAGCAAACAGGG